rnacentral:rRNA from 1 species
UAUCUCUGUAGAGUCUGCAUAUCAAUAAGCGGAGGAAAAGAAACUAACUAGGAUUCCCUUAGUAACGGCGAGUGAAGCGGGAAGAGCUCAAAUUUGAAAUCUUCAAGGUUUACCUUGACGAAUUGUAGUUUAAAGAAGUGUUUUCUGUUGGAGUUUUGGUAAAAGUUCUUUGGAAUAGGACAUCAUAGAGGGUGAGAAUCCCGUAUUUGACCAUUAUUUCCAGCUGUGUGAUACACUUUCAAAGAGUCGGAUUGUUUGGGAAUGCAGUCCAAAAUGGGUGGUAAAUUUCAUCUAAAGCUAAAUACUGGCGAGAGACCGAUAGCGAACAAGUACCGUGAGGGAAAGAUGAAAAGAACUUUGAGAAGAGAGUUAAACAGUACGUGAAAUUGUCAAAAGGGAAGCGUUUGACACCAGUGUUGUUUUCUCGAAAAUCAAUUAAAAAAUGGUUGGAUUUUGUAUUGUUAUGACCUUAUCAGCUUACUGUACUCUUUUUCUUGUCUUUUUUAAUGCACUUUUCGUUUAACAAGUCAACAUCAAUUUCUUUUGUUGUAAAAGAGUCAUUGGAAGGUGGCUUUCACUUCGGUGAAAGUGUUUAUAGCCUUUGACUUCUGCAAUCGGAGAGAUUGAGGUCUGCAGCGUAGAUCCUUCGGGGCUAGAUACAUUAGAUGCUAAGUUAUAGUUUUUAUAGACAACAUUGUUGACUAUGAUUAAUCAUGUAGCUUACUCGUUAUGCCUAUUUUACCUACGCUUAGGAUGUUGAUGUGAUACUGCGAGCA